AAUCAAUGAGCUUGAUUAAAGCGUAUGUUUUGAAAACAUAAGAUAAAAAUAUAAUUUUUAUUGAUUU
rnacentral:tRNA from 1 species